rnacentral:rRNA from 1 species
AGAGUUUGAUCAUGGCUCAAAUUGAACGCUGGCGGCAGGCCUAACACAUGCAAGUCGAGCGGCAGCACGGGUACUUGUACCUGGUGGCGAGCGGCGGACGGGUGAGUAAUGCCUAGGAAUCUGCCUGGUAGUGGGGGAUAACGUCCGGAAACGGGCGCUAAUACCGCAUACGUCCUACGGGAGAAAGUGGGGGAUCUUCGGACCUCACGCUAUCAGAUGAGCCUAGGUCGGAUUAGCUAGUUGGUGAGGUAAUGGCUCACCAAGGCUACGAUCCGUAACUGGUCUGAGAGGAUGAUCAGUCACACUGGAACUGAGACACGGUCCAGACUCCUACGGGAGGCAGCAGUGGGGAAUAUUGGACAAUGGGCGAAAGCCUGAUCCAGCCAUGCCGCGUGUGUGAAGAAGGUCUUCGGAUUGUAAAGCACUUUAAGUUGGGAGGAAGGGUACUUACCUAAUACGUGAGUAUUUUGACGUUACCGACAGAAUAAGCACCGGCUAACUCUGUGCCAGCAGCCGCGGUAAUACAGAGGGUGCAAGCGUUAAUCGGAAUUACUGGGCGUAAAGCGCGCGUAGGUGGUUUGUUAAGUUGGAUGUGAAAGCCCCGGGCUCAACCUGGGAACUGCAUCCAAAACUGGCAAGCUAGAGUAUGGUAGAGGGUGGUGGAAUUUCCUGUGUAGCGGUGAAAUGCGUAGAUAUAGGAAGGAACACCAGUGGCGAAGGCGACCACCUGUACUGAUACUGAC